CCCCAAAACAGGGGCAGGGAUAGAACCACCUUUUUUCCCCAACAGAAACAGGUCUUGGCCUGCCUCUGGAAGUCAGUGAGACCUUCCCAAAGUUGCACUCCUCUGGGUAUUUCUAAGAUGUCCAAGAGUCUGGUGGGGAUGGAGGGAUGCAGGAAGUCUGGACUUUGGGGGGGAUGGAGUUUGCUACUUCGAGUUUUUGUCUUCAUCCCUAGUCUCUUGUAAAAUUGGCUGGCUUGAGGGAGAAGGGGGAGGCCAGAAGGGAUGGUAGAGUUUAAUUCACCUGGAAGACUGCUCACCUCCACCAAGCCUCAAGCAGGUCUCAGAAGCCAAGGAUGGAAAUGGUGCCAGAGGCGUGGGAAGACGGACCCUAAAUGUCCUCUGUGGUCAGAGGAUCCCUUUGAGGGGGUUUCCAAUAGAGCCAUGAUUGGGGUGAUAUAAUACCAUAGAGAAGGAGAUGGGGGCGGGGUGGUGGAGCUCUUGCCAUCGUCUCUAUGGUAACACAAGGGGGCUCUAGGAUAUUGUCUGCCCCUGGCUCCCAGGGAAGAGGAGGAAGGGGCACAGUCUGCUCUGCGAGCUGAAUAGAGCCUGAGGUACUCCUGUCUCUCCAGAUUCCUGACCUUCCUGCAGGCCUAUAAACCUCUGCCCCAUCAAGUACCCUUAUUCUUCCUGUUCCUCCAGAUCUCCUCUCCAGUCCCCUGAGACUUUUCCAUCUUAGAACUCUUCAGCUUCUGAACCUUUGUCUCCCAAAUACCCCACUGCAGCAUCUUGAGCACCCGCUCCCAGGACCCCGACCUUGGAAUCCCUGCCCCAUAGUGCCCUGUAGAUCUUUCCUCUGAGUCGCUUCCCUUCGGCCCCCUCUGCCCCUCGCUGGGUCAGAUUCCAUCCCCUCCCCACCUUUCCCCCAGUGUCCUAAAUCCUUGCCCGCCAGAUUCAAACUCCAAUUCCCUGUACUUCAAGCUCCGGCUCUCAAACUCUGGACCUCAGCCCCGACGGUCCUCCAGAAUCCUGUCCCCCUCCCCCCAUUCAGACUCUCUGGCCCCGCCUUCCCAGUUUCAGCCCUAAAUCCAAAUAAGGUCACAGGAAGGGGCGGGGCCCGGAGCCUGGAGACCCGGUUCCUGCCAGGUCCUAAGGAGGGGCCAAGUCGGGCCCCUCUCCGGCUAGUUCCAACCAGCCCCGGCCACCGCCCCCGGACAGCACCCCCCCUCACCCGCCCCUAGGCCUCCAGGCUUGUCCUGCCCCACCCCGCCCAACCCAGCCUGGUCCUAUCCCCUUGCCCCGGGGCAGGAUCCCAGGAGAGCCCAGCCAGGCUUGGGCCAGACUUCACCCGAUCCUGGGGCGGAGGCUGGGUGAGUGGGAAGGGAGCAAAGAAGCCAAGAGGACAAAGUCCGGGGCGCUGGCGUGGCGGAGGAGCCCAGGGCCCAAGAGAGGCCCAGACCUGGAACCGGGAGAUGGCUGAGGUGACUUUGGAGGGAGCUGUCCAGCCCCCACUGUUACCCAGGGAGUACUUCUGCAAGGAGAGAAGCCUUGAAUCAGAUUCAGGACAUGGACAUUUGCGUUUUAGCCCCAUUUCUGCCACUUACUAGUGUAAGACUGACUCCUUCCUCUCUCAGGGUCUUGGUUCCCCCAUCUAUAAAGUAAAGGGUCUGGACAAGAUGAUCACUUUACAACCCUGACACUUUAAACAAAGAUAAAGAUAUGACUUCUGCAUCGAGCAAAUGAA